ensembl:lncRNA
AUGUCUCCAUCUUAUUUAAUCUUCAUUUGUAUGGCUGCUGUUGCAGUUAAAGAAAGUUGUGCAGAUUCUGUCCCUACUCCCACCAUUGUGUUAGACCCUGGGUUCAUCAAUGUAGCUAUGCCAGUCGUAGUACGCUGUGAGUCAACAAGAGGCACAAAGUGCCACUUCUACAAAGACCACGACCCCAACCCAAUAAGAGAAGUGAAUUCCGGUGUUUGCCAAUUCAUAUUGUUCUGGAAUGAGUUCAAAAAGUGGAACAAGACUGAAGUAGAUCUCAGCUGUGCUAUUCUACAGAAGAGAGAUGGGAAAACGAUAUCUUCAGAACGAAGUGACACUCGAAGACUUCAUGUGAGUGAUCCCAUUGGAAUACCCAGGAUUUUUGUGGAAAAUACAGGAACUUACUUAAGUCUUCGGUGUGAGGCCAAGCAUGCUGGUACCUCAUGCUACUAUUACUUGAACAACACUGAGUCCCCCUUUAAAAGUCAGCCCUACAAAGACAAUGUCUGUGUUGGGAAAGUAUCGGAAAAGGAUCUGCUGAGGAAGAGGAGCAGUGCUGGAGAGAUCUUCAUCACCUGUGCUGUGGAGCUGGUGGUAGAGGGUGGAGAUACUGUGACAUCACAGCAUAGUGAACCGUUCAAGAUUGCCAUAGAUGACUCUCCUGGGCCCACCACUUCCUUAUCAACAUUCAGUACCAAUAAAACCAGUGUAACUAAUGGAGAAGUCAUCGACCCCUUUAGAGUCCUCCUCGGAGUUCCCCCUCUACAUCAGUCUGAGUUUUGGGGCCUUUAGCCUUAUUCUGCUGGUUGUAUCUGUCCUGUGUUUUCUCCGGUACAAGCGAGGUGAUCAACAAGACUGGUCUGCCAAUAGGUAAGUGAGUGAUCUAUUUGUAUUAUAAUUACAUUAUAUUUGUCUUCAUACACAUCAUUAUACAGUGUCAUAUCUAAAUGUACUGGGUAAAUUGUCUCAACAGAUCCCAAUGGAACCAGAACAAAGAAGUUAUCUGUAAGUAUGAAAGGAAACCUACCACAACAUAUUCAUUUAUCAGAAAAGUGGUUAUAUUCAGUGCUCUACAUUUCACCUUUCUCUUAUUUGAAACAGAUGCAAAUGCUUAAUUAUUUCAACAAGGCGGUCUGAAUGUGGGGGAUGUGACCAUGCUGCAUUGUACUAGUUCAAGUGUAAGUGGUAACAGUUCACCUGUUGAUGAACUCCCUCCACAUCCUUUCUCUGCUUCCUGAUUUACAUAUCUGCCACUCUCUGCUCUUCAUGUAGUCUGACACCCUCUGUUCCUCUCAGAUGAAUGGUGUAAUAUCUUACUGGGCAAGAAAUAGAUGUGCAUAGGUUUUAAGACAUGAUCUAUUUGAAGUUUCACAUUGUUUGUAUAUAAGGGUAAAUACCCGUGUUCUUUUAUUGCCUUGUCUUUUUUUAACGCUUUUGUUAUUUUAUUACUCUUUUUUUAUCAACUUUGUAUAUUGAUAGUUUUGCUACUCUACAUUUAUUCUGCACUUUUGAGGAAGAGCUGAAAGUAAGCAUUUCACUGUGCCAUUCCACCUUCUGUGCAUGUGACAAAUAAACAUUGAUUUAAUGUGUAGAUUGUGUAGAUUAGUUUUAACAUACUGGCAUACAAUUUUCCUAUUCUGUACAGCUUUUAAUAUGUAACUCUGUUUUGAAUAAAUUAAAUACAUGUAUUGUAUUACAGCAUUCCCAUUUUAUGCUGCUAUUUGUGGUUCUGUUUUCCUGGAUGGUUGGUACCAUUUUUUCCCAGUAGAUGGGGCGGAAAGAUUGUGUGAGUUAGAGAAACAACAGAGGUUCGGAAUGGAGAAGGGGGAUCGUAGAGAUGGGGGUAAAACUCUAACCACUAGUUUGUGGUGACACAGUGUGAUGUUAAACACAGUAACUAAACUGG